rnacentral:rRNA from 1 species
UAGAGUUUGAUCCUGGCUCAGAUUGAACGCUGGCGGCAGGCCUAACACAUGCAAGUCGAGCGGUAACACAGAGGAGCUUGCUCCUUGGGUGACGAGCGGCGGACGGGUGAGUAAUGCCUGGGGAUCUGCCUGAUAGAGGGGGAUAACUACGGGAAACUGUAGCUAAUACCGCAUAACGUCUACGGACCAAAGUGGGGGCUCUUCGGACCUCAUGCUAUCGGAUGAACCCAGGUGGGAUUAGCUAGUUGGUGAGGUAAUGGCUCACCAAGGCGACGAUCUCUAACUGGUUUGAGAGAAUGACCAGUCACACUGGAACUGAGACACGGCCCAGACUCCUACGGGAGGCCGCAGCGGGGAAUAUUGCACAAUGGGCGCAAGCCUGAUGCAGCCAUGCCGCGUGUGUGAAGAAGGCUUUCGUGUUGUAAAUCACUUUCAGCGGGGAGGAAGGGCUACUAGUUAAUACCUAGUGGCAUUGACGUUACUCGCAGAAGAAGCACCGGCUAACUCCGUGCCACCAGCCGCGGUAAUACGGAGGGUGCAAGCGUUAAUCGGAAUUACUGGGCGUAAAGCGCACGCAGGCGGUUUGUUAAGUCAGAUGUGAAAUCCCCGAGUUCAACUUGGGAACUGCAUUUGAAACUGGCAAGCUAGAGUCUUGUAGAGGGGGGUAGAAUUCCAGGUGUAGCGGUGAAAUGCGUAGAGAUCUGGAGGAAUACCGGUGGCGAAGGCGGCCCCCUGGACAAAGACUGACGCUCAGGUGCGAAAGCGUGGGGAGCAACCAGGAUAAGAUCCCUUGGUAGUCCACGCUGUAAACG